rnacentral:rRNA from 1 species
GACAGAGGUGCCGAGCGUUAGGCGGAAUCACUGGGCUUAAAGCGUGUGUAGGCGGGCCGUUAAGUAUCUUGUGAAAUCCCCCGGCUCAACCGGGGAAUGGCUGGAUAUACUGGCGGUCUUGAGCGAUCUAGGGGCAGAUGGAACAAGUGGUGGAGCGGUGAAAUGCGUAGAUAUCACUUGGAACGCCAAAGGUGAAAACAGUCUGCUGGGGAUCUGAUGACGCUGAGACACGAAAGCCAGGGGAGCGAACGGG